CCUACGGGGGGCAGCAGUGGGGGAUAUUGCACAAUGGGGGAAACCCUGAUGCAGCGACGCCGCGUGGGUGAAGAAGCGCCUCGGCGCGUAAAGCCCUGUCAGCAGGGAAGAAAAUGACGGUACCUGAAGAAGAAGCCCCGGCUAACUACGUGCCAGCAGCCGCGGUAAUACGUAGGGGGCAAGCGUUAUCCGGAUUUACUGGGUGUAAAGGGGGCGCAGGCGGCGAUGCAAGCCAGGAGUGAAAGCCCGGGGCCCAACCCCGGGACUGCUCUUGGAACUGCGUGGCUAGAGUGCAGGAGGGGCAGGCGGAAUGCGUGGUGUAGCGGUGAAAUGCGUAGAUAUCAGGAGGAACACCGAUGGCGAAGGCGGCCUGCUGGACUGCAACUGACGUUGAGGCCCGAAAGCGUGGGGAGCAAACAGGAUUAGAUACCCCUGUAGUC
rnacentral:rRNA from 1 species